UACAGAGGGGGCAAGCGUUAUUCGGAAUUAUUGGGCGUAAAGGGCGCGUAGGCGGCUUGGCAAGUGGAUGGUGAAAUCCCUCGGCUUAACCGAGGAACUGCCGUCCAAACUGCUUUGCUUGAGACCGGGAGAGGUGAGUGGAAUUCCCAGUGUAGCGGUGAAAUGCGUAGAUAUCGGGAGGAACACCUGUGGCGAAAGCGGCUCACUGGACCACAACUGACGCUGAGGCGCGAAAGCUAGGGGAGCAAACAGG
rnacentral:rRNA from 1 species